UACGAAGGGUGCUAGCGUUGCUCGGAAUCACUGGGCGUAAAGCGCACGUAGGCGGUUUCUUAAGUCGGUGGUGAAAUCCUGGAGCUCAACUCCAGAACUGCCUUCGAUACUGAGAGUCUCGAGUCCGAGAGAGGUGAGUGGAACUGCGAGUGUAGAGGUGAAAUUCGUAGAUAUUCGCAAGAACACCGGUGGCGAAAGCGACUCUCUGGCUCGUAUCUGACGCUGAGGUGCGAAAGCUUGGGUAGCAAACAGG
rnacentral:rRNA from 1 species